rnacentral:rRNA from 1 species
AGAGUUUGAUCCUGGCUCAGGACGAACGCUGGCGGCGUGCUUAACACAUGCAAGUCGAACGGUGAACUCCGCUUGCGGGGGGAUCAGUGGCGAACGGGUGAGUAACACGUGGGCAACCUGCCCCUGGCUCUGGGAUAACUCCAAGAAAUUGGGGCUAAUACCGGAUAUGACCGCUGACCGCAUGGUCUGGUGGUGGAAAGAUUUAUCGGCUGGGGAUGGGCCCGCGGCCUAUCAGCUUGUUGGUGGGGUAGUGGCCUACCAAGGCGACGACGGGUAGCCGGCCUGAGAGGGUGACCGGCCACACUGGGACUGAGACACGGCCCAGACUCCUACGGGAGGCAGCAGUGGGGAAUAUUGCGCAAUGGGCGGAAGCCUGACGCAGCGACGCCGCGUGGGGGAUGACGGCCUUCGGGUUGUAAACCUCUUUCAGUAGGGACGAAGCGUGAGUGACGGUACCUACAGAAGAAGCACCGGCCAACUACGUGCCAGCAGCCGCGGUAAUACGUAGGGUGCAAGCGUUGUCCGGAAUUAUUGGGCGUAAAGAGCUCGUAGGCGGUUUGUUGCGUCGGCUGUGAAAUCCCGAGGCUCAACCUCGGGUCUGCAGUCGAUACGAGCAAACUAGAGUGUUGCAGGGGAGACUGGAAUUCCUGGUGUAGCGGUGAAAUGCGCAGAUAUCAGGAGGAACACCGGUGGCGAAGGCGGGUCUCUGGGCAACAACUGACGCUGAGGAGCGAAAGCGUGGGGAGCGAACAGGAUUAGAUACCCUAGUAGUCC